CCUACGGGGGGCAGCAGUGGGGAAUAUUGCACAAUGGUCGCAAGCCUGAUGCAGCCAUGCCGCGUGUGUGAAGAAGGCCUUCGGGUUGUAAAGCACUUUCAGCGGGGAGGAAGGCGUUAAGGUUAAUAACCUUGUCGAUUGACGUUACCCGCAGAAGAAGCACCGGCUAACUCCGUGCCAGCAGCCGCGGUAAUACGGAGGGUGCAAGCGUUAAUCGGAAUUACUGGGCGUAAAGCGCACGCAGGCGGUCUGUCAAGUCGGAUGUGAAAUCCCCGGGCUCAACCUGGGAACUGCAUUCGAAACUGGCAGGCUAGAGUCUUGUAGAGGGGGGUAGAAUUCCAGGUGUAGCGGUGAAAUGCGUAGAGAUCUGGAGGAAUACCGGUGGCGAAGGCGGCCCCCUGGACAAAGACUGACGCUCAGGUGCGAAAGCGUGGGGAGCAAACAGGAUUAGAUACCCGUGUAGUC
rnacentral:rRNA from 1 species